rnacentral:rRNA from 1 species
UGAGUUUGAUCCUGGCUCAGGACGAACGCUGGCGGCGUGCCUAAUACAUGCAAGUCGAGCGGACAGAAGGGAGCUUGCUCCCGGAUGUUAGCGGCGGACGGGUGAGUAACACGUGGGUAACCUGCCUGUAAGACUGGGAUAACUCCGGGAAACCGGAGCUAAUACCGGAUAGUUCCUUGAACCGCAUGGUUCAAGGAUGAAAGACGGUUUCGGCUGUCACUUACAGAUGGACCCGCGGCGCAUUAGCUAGUUGGUGGGGUAAUGGCUCACCAAGGCGACGAUGCGUAGCCGACCUGAGAGGGUGAUCGGCCACACUGGGACUGAGACACGGCCCAGACUCCUACGGGAGGCAGCAGUAGGGAAUCUUCCGCAAUGGACGAAAGUCUGACGGAGCAACGCCGCGUGAGUGAUGAAGGUUUUCGGAUCGUAAAGCUCUGUUGUUAGGGAAGAACAAGUGCGAGAGUAACUGCUCGCACCUUGACGGUACCUAACCAGAAAGCCACGGCUAACUACGUGCCAGCAGCCGCGGUAAUACGUAGGUGGCAAGCGUUGUCCGGAAUUAUUGGGCGUAAAGGGCUCGCAGGCGGUUUCUUAAGUCUGAUGUGAAAGCCCCCGGCUCAACCGGGGAGGGUCAUUGGAAACUGGGAAACUUGAGUGCAGAAGAGGAGAGUGGAAUUCCACGUGUAGCGGUGAAAUGCGUAGAGAUGUGGAGGAACACCAGUGGCGAAGGCGACUCUCUGGUCUGUAACUGACGCUGAGGAGCGAAAGCGUGGGGAGCGAACAGGAUUAGAUACCCUGGUAGUCCACGCCGUAAACGAUGAG